AGCAAUGCCGACAAACAUGGUUUAUGAUGAUAUUGGUGGUCUGAAGCUUUAGAUCGUCGGGGCUGCUCUCAUUCGUUCAAUUUGCCAGUGAUCCUUCCAUUCUACUGCUGCUCAUUAUUAUCAUAUGAAGGAGGUGUUCUUCCGUUACAAUACUCCUGACGUGUUUCAUGAAAUGUCUAUGAGCUGGAACAUGUAUAACCUUUCAAGUUCACUGAUGUGGUUACCACUACAACACACGUCCCUCUAAGGACCAAGGGUGGGCAUGAUCUUCUACAAGGUUGUCUGUGACUAUUAGUACGGGAUCAACUUUGCGGUGUCCCCAUCGCUUCAAGUCAAGCUAAUAGAGCUAAAUGGGUAUCCAAUUUUAGAAAGCACACUUAAGAAACAUGCACACGUGUCUUUAGAUCCUAUGGAGCAUUCCUAAUAAUGACCAUCUAUUUAACUAUCUUGGAUCAUUACCAUUACAAAAUGCAGCAUGGCAUUCAUAAUGUUCAGUUAUUCAUAAAUGUGGCAUUUAAUUAUUCUCUUGGCAUGAUAUUUAAGCAUGUUGCAUAUACCAAUCUGUUGAUAAUUCAAUUAUUGAUUCUGAUGUACAAACAUGCAAAACCAUUGCCUGUUUGGAUGAUGCACAUGAGUAUGUUUUUGUUAGUUUUCGGUGAUGUAUGUCGUGAAGCGGGACGGGCGGACGGAGACGGUGCACUUCGACAAGAUCACGGUGUGGUUCAAGAAGCUCAGCUAUGGGCUCAGCCAGGAGCACCGCGACCCCGUGCUCGGUCUGCGUCAGGGUAUACAUGGGCGUCACCACCAGCCAGCUCGACGAGCUCGCCGCCGAGACCGCCGCCGCGCUCACGGCCUCCCAGCCUGACUAUGCCUCCCUCGCGGCAAGGAUUGUUGUGCCCAACCUGCCGCCAAGUGGAAAUAGUCUGUGUGGCGCUUGUAAAUAGAGAGCAUUCUGGUAGAAAGGUACAGGAAAGAAUAGGGAAACUUCUGUCAUUUUCUUUGGUCUCUGAAAAAUAAAUGGUGAUAUGGGCUGAUACAUUGCUAAAUUACAUGAUACAAACUCACUUCUUUUUUUAUUUUUGGUUUACUUUGUUGUGCUACAAUGGCUCUCCUAGGAAUGUUCUUCCAUGCUUUGAUGUGCACAAUCCAGAAAGUGCAUGCAUCCAGAAACCAAAUAGGAUUUUUUAUGUGUUAUCUUCUCUUAAAUCUAUAGACCUAAAGUGGUCGGACCCUUCCCUGGACCCUGCGCAAGCGGGAGCUACAUGCACCAGCUGAAAGAUUAGCAAGACUGGCUAAAUUCUGAACAUGUUCCAUGUGAGAGAAAUAGCAUGUUGAUUUCAUCUUGAAAUAAUCAUAGCUGAGGGACGAGCUUCGUAACUAAGGGUCAUGUGUAGAGCUGAAGGAAGAAGUUGCGAGGCUUGGAACUCUCCUUGUAAAGGGCUCAGGACAGCAGUGAGGACAAUGCCUCUUUAGUUGUAAUUGUGAUACUCCUGAUCUGCAAGUAAACACUCCUGUGAUACUAAAUGUUGGUUGUUAGUACAGAGGUGGUGACAUUAGUUGGUUCUCUGGUAUUGAUUUCAUGAUUUGUGGUUAAUACAUGAUGUAAUACAAUCCACACUGCAUUAUAUUUCCAGUUACAUCUUUUACUUACUCA